rnacentral:tRNA from 2 species
GGGGGCUUAGCUCAGUGGGAGAGCACCUGCUUUGCAAGCAGGGGGUCACGGGUUCGAAUCCCGUAGCCUCCACCA